rnacentral:rRNA from 1 species
GACGAACGCUGGCGGCGUGCUUAACACAUGCAAGUCGAACGGAAAGGCCCUGCUUGCAGGGUACUCGAGUGGCGAACGGGUGAGUAACACGUGGGUGAUCUGCCCUGCACUUCGGGAUAAGCUUGGGAAACUGGGUCUAAUACCGGAUAGGAGCCAUCUUUAGUGUGGUGGUUGGAAAGUUUUUUCGGUGUAGGAUGAGCUCGCGGCCUAUCAGCUUGUUGGUGGGGUAAUGGCCUACCAAGGCGGCGACGGGUAGCCGGCCUGAGAGGGUGUACGGCCACAUUGGGACUGAGAUACGGCCCAGACUCCUACGGGAGGCAGCAGUGGGGAAUAUUGCACAAUGGGCGCAAGCCUGAUGCAGCGACGCCGCGUGGGAGAUGAAGGCCUUCGGGUUGUAAACUCCUUUCGCUAGGAACGAAGCUUUUUUGUGACGGUACCUAGAUAAGAAGCACCGGCUAACUACGUG